AUAUGCGAACAUAUGUCAACAAUUUUUGCAAAACUGAAUGCUGAGAAUUUUGAAAACUAAGGCAUAGGAAGGUCAACUACCUGUCCGUCCGAGUUUUACAUGUUAUGGCAUUAAAAAACAUAUAUUUAUACUAUACCUAAUAUCUAUAUAGUUUACUUUGAGAGUGAAAAUGUCUAAAAUAAUAUUGCAAACUGCCCUCACACUGUCUUGUUUCCUCACACGAUCUCACAUGGUCAGUAUUUUCAUCAUUCUUUUCAAUCGGCGCCAAGACCGAACUCAUGAGCGUCGAUCAGGCCUUAAAGGAGCUUUAAUUAUUUUAUUUGGCCCGGGCAGCCGCAGGUUAUAAGGCUAUAAGUACCACCCUUACAGCCGGUAAUACUGAUGAUGUGAGGGCUUACAGGCAGUACUUAUUGCUGAUCUAUUGCAGAUAUUGUUGAUCAUGUGAUUGUCGCUUAACAGCAUAUUAUUAGGUUUAACCAACCAGACAGUCUGUUUUAAAAUAAUACAGGUCGGUCAUGUAUAAUCUUAACAAGAGCGAUUUUUGACCGGAAAUAAAGAUAUAAUGGUUUGUAUAGAUAUAAUGGUUUUUUAUAACAUGGCACACCAAUGUCAUAAGUUCGUAGGGUUUCUCACAGAGUAGCCGUUCCUUAUAUGUUUUUGUAGUUAGAAAGAUCUCUGUAUUUCGAAUUUCUUUAGUCCGUAGUGAUCCUUUAACUUUAUAUGCUUGAACUUUUAUUACAGAAAAUAUAAAAAACAAGGAAACCGUUAAAUGAUAUCUAAGUAGAUCGAUCUAAGUUCAGCAUUCGAUUUCCGGAUUUUACAGGACAUAUUUGAAAAAACCAAUUUGCCGGUAUGAAUAUGGUGCAGCUGCUUCAUAAAUUGUCCGUCAUCUUAAAGAAUCAAUCAUAGAAACUAUUGACAUUAGAUUAGCAGGGAAAUCUGAAUCCAGGCAAUUCUUCCAGAUAUCUAAAAAUUAAGCAAUAAUUGUUUUAUUUAAAAGGACAAAGUCAAUGUCGACUUCCGAUUUCAAGUAGUACCUUUACAUUGAACAUAUUUUCAAAUCUUGAAUUGUUCGAAAAUUCCUUUUUAACCAUGCAUUCCGAUUUUGUGUUGGAAAUACUUUUGAAAACCUUUACUAUAUUUCAAAAAUACUAGACAAGUUUUAAACAACUUUGUAUAACACCGAACAAACUGUUCUAUAUGAAACCUCGACAAGUAGCCCAAGACCCAAAAUUUCAGCUGUCUAUCAACUUAAGUGACAUUUGCGGAACGCGCGGGGUGUUUUAAAUUCAGCUCAGGAAAAAAUACGGGAUAGCUCGAAUAAGGGCAAAGCAAAAACUGAAUUUUGGUAGAUAUGUCUGCACAUAUGACGGAAAACAUUGAAACUUUUCGAGCUUUUAAGCUAAGUUAAGAUGAUGAACAUAGAAAAUAUCUGUACACAUAAUCAAUAAUAAAAAAAGGCUGUAUUCACAUUUUAAAUUGUUGUAACUUAGCAUAUAGUAACACAAACGUGAUUUCUUCAGUGCUUUCUACGUAACUAUUUUUGAUUGACGACGUAAAAUGAACUGCGUAUUUAUCAAAUAGGGAACAUGCAGCAUAAGGUAUUCCCGCUUCACAAAAAAGCAAAGGUUUUUGAAAUACGUAGGAGCUAGCUAUGGGUAUAAGUUAACAUAAGCUAUUUGAAAUUUUAUUUAAUAUUCGAAUCCCCAACAAAGUAUUUCAUAAAAGUAGGGCGUUUCUAUAACUCCUCUAUGUGGUUAAAUUGUUUGGGAACGCUUUUUUGUAUAUGACUCUUCAUUCAUCUUGUUUUGCAUUCAAUAUGUGCGCUGUACAUUCUCAAUUAGUUAUUUUUCGUCUAUUUAAUUCUGAAAACAUUAGUUUAAACCCAACUUUUAGAUAAAAAGAAAUAAACAUUAAAAUUGAUGACAGAAAACUAGAUUACGGCCAAUAUUUUUGGACGUUUAUAAUAAAAAAAGGGUAAACUAAAAAAAGUCACAUAAACAUUACAUCGAUAUGGCUAACAUAUUCGCUCAAGUGCCGCUAACAAACCUUUAUUUAUUAUUAAUACAUAUCCACUGAACCAAUUCAUUUGAUUCCGGUAGCGGCUUAUUAUCUUGAUUAUAGUUAACAGUAAUUAACUACGCAUAAACCGAUAUUAAAGAAGCCGCUCCAGUCGGACGAAGCCCUUUUUUAAAUGAAUAACUGCCGGUACUUUUUAUCAAAUUUCUGGAUUCCUUCCUCGGUUUUUGUUGACUCGAACUAGCUAAUGUUUCACCAAUCAUCCUGUGGGCUUCUUCAGAGCUUGACUGAAACUGGAGCCAACAACUGAAGAAGCCAACAGGAUGAUUGGCGAAACGUCAGCAAGUCCGACUCAAUAAAAACCGACGCAGGAGGAAUCCAGAAGUUUUAUAAAAAUUAUUACAGUAGCCUGUGGAAGUUUCUUUGCCGGAUUUUUAUCUCUGCAAAUAAUUUCAUAUUAAGAAAAAAAAAUACACAUAAACAUCGGUGUACAAAACCUGAAGAUUUCCGCUCAAUUACAUAUCGAAAAUUGAUAUAAAUACUGUUAUUAAGAUUGUCACCGGGAAAAAUUCAUUAGUCGACUAUUUUUUAAUCUAUAAAUCAGCAGAUUUGUUGACGAAAAUCAAUUUGCUGCAGUAUUCACAAGUACAAAGAUCUUAAAUUUUCUAAUUUUGUUGUAGUGAUUUCUGGGAAUUGUAGCAAUGGCUUGCUUUAACAAGAUCGUUUUGGUGUUGGGCGGAUUGGCUUUUUCCAAUGCCUGCAAUAUUUUUGUAAGUGAAGUAAGCGAAGGCGAAAAAAGCUUCAUUGUGGACAAGCACAACGAGCUUCGGAGGCUUAUAGCAAACGACGCCGUCGAGGGACAACCGAGGGGAGUGAACCUGAAAGCAUUGAAAUACGACGAUGCCCUUGCCGGAGCAGCUCAGCAGAUUGCUAACAGCUGCGUGUUUGCCCAUCAAACAGUCACUGAUAGUAGGUGGCAAGCCGUGGGUCAAAACCUCUACAUCUAUAUGUCGACCGCGUACGACACAGCAUCCGACUGGGAUUCCGCUAUCCAGGACUGGUUUAACGAACACCAAUUUUACACCUUCAACAACGGUUUCGAUAGUGCCACUGGACAUUAUACGCAGCUCGUAUGGGCCGACACAGAAUACGUAGGAUGUGGAUACGCAGCUUAUGAAACGGACGACGCUUAUCGUUACCAGAAGCUUUACGUUUGCAACUAUGGACCUGCGGGUAACUACAUAGGCCAAUAUCCCUAUCAGACCGGCGACUCUGGCUGCGAAGAUUUGUUACAUUGAAACGAAUAUAACAACUUCACAUUCGAUUGUAAUGAGGGUAUUAGGCUGCUCAAUCAGAUUUUAGCAAACCCGGUUAAGCAGCGUGUCUCCUUUCUGCAACUUCGCGAUACAGGUAUUCAUAUAAAUAAUAUAAGAAGUAUUUAACGCAAUAAUAUCAUGUAAAAAAAUAAUCAAAACGUUCCAUUAGAUAGGAAAGUCGUAAUAAUACGUAAAUAGUAUAUUAUGCAACAAGUGCGGUAAACGGCAUUUGACUCACGAGUUAAUGUGACACAAGCGGAGAGCAGCGGAGCAAGUUUUUAGUAAACGAGAGAGUUAAAAAGUUUACCGAACUUGUUACAUACUAUACUUUUUCUACGGCCGUUUGUUUUUGGGUAUGUAUCAUUCCUUAGUUUAGCCUCGACAAUACUUAACGACUCCUCCAAGGGCACGUUGGUAUAUAGACUUUCAACGUUAAAGCUAAUAAACUUGUCUGAAACAUCUAAUUUCACGUUUUUUAGUGCCCGGAGUUUUUUACAAUCGUCAAUAACGUGGACAAGCUUGAAAAAUUAUUAUCGCUUAUUCGAGUGUUAGAAAAACUACUUGCUUUAAAAAUUCUAGUUACAAAGACAAAUCCGUAGAAUUUCGACUGCAGACUUUGAGGUUUCUAUACACACUGCUGUUAGUGCAGGCUUUAGUACAUAUAAGUAGAAUUACUAUUUUAUAUAAUGAAGUGGUGAAAUAGGUAGCUUGCUAGUGUACUAGGUACGUAUAAAAAGUUUUAUUAUCUCAUUCCAGAAAUUAACCGCGGUUUGAGUUUAAGAGGUCUUAUUAUUUAUUAUUUUGAUUUGCAUUAUUAUUUUAAAGUUUGCACAUUUCUUUAAAAACUAUGGUUAUUUACGAAUUCCACUUAUAAUUUCAAAUAAACUUUUACGGCACUGCCAUAUUUUUUAUUACCUAUGUAAACUGUUACUGCAUUGGUUCAGACACGGACAAUUUUUACAAACAUUUUUACCAAAAAUUUACCAGAAAAUAUUCUACUUCAGAUUCAGAUCCUGCGAAAUUCUAAGUAACUAUCAUUAAAAUUUAUGCACGAAAAUCUAAACUUAAGUAUAAUAUAUUUUGAAUCAUAUGCAUUUUAGAAAAUAAAGUUUUGGCUUCUGAUAUAACAAGGAAUAUAUUGGAGGAAAAAAAAGGAAAAAUAAUUAAUAUAUUUAAAAUCCGCUCUACAAGAGUCCCCAUAGGAAAGGUUUAAGCCAAAAUAUUCAGAAAAAAAAUUAAAAGUAUCAUAAAAAAAUGGAAGAUAGAUGAAUUACCACAAAUGUCAUUUUUUCUAUCCCAAAAAUAUUAAAUUAAAAAAUUAGUAUUAGAUAUAACAUUUUAUUUACGAAAUGAUUUUGUGAAAAAGUAAAUUUUCUCGAAGGAAAGAAUAAAACAUUGAAAUUUUAAUUUUCAAUGUUCAAUGUUUCGGCGCUUUAAUUGGCCUUCUUCAGUCAAAUAAAUGAUUUACACAUUUUUUAUUUAUUGUCUAUUCUCUUCUGUAAGAUACCUAAUUACAAAAUAAACUAGCGUGCCAAAAAUUGCAAUUGCAAAUCGGCGAAAGAAGGAUAUUUUACGUUUUCUGGGCUGACACGGAAUACGCAGGUUGUGAAGAUACAUUUUCUGACAAAAAUUGGUCAUCUUGAUAUCAAGGUCCUAUAAUGGGGCCUCCUUUAAAUACAAUUUACAACAGCAAUUCUGUCUUAUGUAUAAAAAAUGGCACGGCAUACUUUUAUGCUGAUGAUACUCAGGUAAUAUAUUCGUUUGUCCUCAGUACAUAGUAUACGGCACAAGAAUUGAUUAAUAAAGAUUUAAAAGCACCGACUGAAUUCUCAGCACGUCAGGUUUGAUAAUUAAUCCAACCAAAUCAUCUGUUAUGCUCUUUGGAUCGGUCUUUGAAUUUAACAUACAAGUGAGUGACAGAGUUUUGCAGUUACUCAAGUGAAUUAAUGGUUAGAAAUUGUUGUUAUGUAUCAUUUGAUUGAAUAUUGAACCAUUUUUAAUUGCUUUCAUUUCCUUUUCAGCAAUUUAUCUAUUUAUUUUUUUGUAUAUUGAAUACAGCAGAAUAAAUGUAUAAAUAUUAUUAUAAGCGUAAGUAUUUAUAGCAUCUCAGUUUUGGUUAGCUCAAGCACUCGUUUAACUAGUAAUUUAAUUGAACAGGGCAGGUGUGUUCGAAGACGCUUAAUUCAUUUUAAUAACCUUGGAAUCUUUAGAAAGGGCUUUCUCUAGGCAAUCGUUCGUGCAGUGAUUGCCAUUGAUUACCUGGCGUUUUGUAAUAAAUAACUUUACGAAAAAAGAUCAGUUGCAACGAUAUGUCUUUUAUGUCCUUACAUAAUCAAAUAGUAGCUCAACGAGUCAAAAUGGCAUCGCAAUAUAAAGAUAAAGAAUAAAGAUUCGAAUCUAAAAUGUGAAUAAAAGAAGUUUAAGAACCGGCUUCAAGAAGAGCGACAAAAAGAUUGAACCUAAGAGUACUCAGAACUCUCCGAAGUUUUUAUGGUCAAAGAGGCAAAAAAACUAUUUCCAAGGGACGAUCUAUUGGACACGCAUUGCAAUUACACAAUACAUAAGCUCCAAGAAGCGGCCAAUAGAAUUAAUUAAAAAACGCUAGUUGUUUAGAUGGUGUACAUCCCAAGAUUGUAAGAUAUGUGGGGCAGAAACUACAAGACAUCUGUCUGAAUCUAAUGAAACAGUUGCUGUUGAGAGGGGAAUUUCUGAGAAUAUGGAAAAAGGCCAGACUAGUCCACCUAGAAAAGCCUAAGAAGCGUGAACCGGGUCUAUCCUAUAAGUCUCUGUGUGUGCACACUGCUGAAGCAUCUUAUCAAGUAAAGACUCUGCUGAAAUUAGCAUGCGUUGCGGUUUUGAAAGUACCCAGUUUGGUUUCUCGAAAAAGAGAUCCACAGCGGACGCAGUCAAAAGGGUAAUGGAGGAAGUGGACGAGGGCAAAAGCACCGCUUGGCAGAACGGGAAACUAUGCCUGCUGGGGUGUGACUCUGGAAUUCGUUUUAUGUGAAGAAGGAGAGACUAUUUCGCUAAUGAAGGAUUUUUAAACUCCUAAAAAUCGCAUCCGUUGCAUAUUUAUAUAUUUGUUUUUUUUUAGCGUCGAUUAUUUUACCUGUUUAUUCGAAUUAUGUCAAAAUUAAGGAAGACACAAUAAUUUGUUUUCACAAUUAUUGAAAAGGUUGGAGUUAAAAUAAUUUUUUAAAUUUAAAAGUGUGUAGCCUUCCUACUUUGGGCGAAUGGCUCCAGUGCGUGAAUGUGACAGUUCGAUUAGGUUCCGUGGUGGUGGGGUCACCGCUUAGCGAAGGCACUCUUUGACUUUGGCCGAGGGUGAGAAGACGACGUGUUAGUGGGUCAAGGCGAGCCGAAAUAAUUUUGAAGAAAAACGCCAUUACUAUCACGUUAAAUUCUGUUUGCUCAUGUGGUUGGUUAUUCCUUGUUAUGUGCUGUCGGCCCCGAGAAAGGUGUUAAGUUAAUAUCGUUCUGUUCAAUCGUGGAUGUCAUAUGGCACAUUCAAAAUGGAAGUUCUGGUUAGAAGUUAACUUUGAGCACUUAUUUACGUCCUGACUGCCGUAUUUUUGUUCAUUGAGGAUGCGAUGCUUGUAGAACCCUUGUAUAGCACGUGCAGUAUAAUUAUCCAUGCCCGACCGACGAAACGA